rnacentral:rRNA from 1 species
UACGAAGGGGGCUAGCGUUGCUCGGAAUUACUGGGCGUAAAGGGCGCGUAGGCGGAUAGUUUAGUCGGAGGUGAAAGCCCAGGGCUCAACCCUGGAAUUGCCUUUGAUACUGGCUAUCUUGAGUUCGGGAGAGGUGAGUGGAACUCCGAGUGUAGAGGUGAAAUUCGUAGAUAUCAGGAGGAACACCAAUGGCGAAGGCAGCACUCUGGGACGUGACUGACGCUGAGACGCGAAAGCGUGGGGAGCAAACAGG